UACGUAGGGUGCGAGCGUUAAUCGGAAUUACUGGGCGUAAAGCGUGCGUAGGCGGUUGUGCAAGACCGAGGUGAAAUCCCCGGGCUUAACCUGGGAAUGGCCUUUGUGACUGCACGGCUAGAGUGUGUCAGAGGGGGGUAGAAUUCCACGUGUAGCAGUGAAAUGCGUAGAGAUGUGGAGGAAUACCGAUGGCGAAGGCAGCCCCCUGGGAUAACACUGACGCUCAUGCACGAAAGCGUGGGGAGCAAACAGG
rnacentral:rRNA from 1 species